ACAAGCGGUGGAUGAUGUGGAUUAAUUCGAUGCAACGCGAAGAACCUUACCUACCCUUGACAUGUCCGGAACUUGCCAGAGAUGGCUUGGUGCCCGAAAGGGAAUCGGAACACAGGUGCUGCAUGGCUGUCGUCAGCUCGUGUCGUGAGAUGUUGGGUUAAGUCCCGCAACGAGCGCAACCCUUAUCAUUAGUUGCUACGCAAGGGCACUCUAAUGAGACUGCCGGUGACAAACCGGAGGAAGGUGGGGAUGACGUCAAGUCCCCAUGGCCCUUAUGGGUAGGGCUUCACACGUCAUACAAUGGUCGGUACAGAGGGUUGCCAAGCCGCGAGGCGGAGCCAAUCCCACAAAGCCGAUCGUAGUCCGGAUUGUUCUCUGCAACUCGAGAGCAUGAAGUCGGAAUCGCUAGUAAUCGCAGGUCAGCAUACUGCGGUGAAUACGUUCCCGGGUCUU
rnacentral:rRNA from 1 species